CCUAUGGGUGGCAGCAGUGGGGAAUAUUGGACAAUGGGGGGAACCCUGAUCCAGCCAUGCCGCGUGUGUGAAGAAGGCCCUCGGGUUGUAAAGCACUUUCAGUGAGGAAGAACGCCUGGUGGUUAAUACCCAUCAGGAAAGACAUCACUCACAGAAGAAGCACCGGCUAACUCCGUGCCAGCAGCCGCGGUAAUACGGAGGGUGCGAGCGUUAAUCGGAAUUACUGGGCGUAAAGCGCGCGUAGGUGGCUUGAUAAGCCGGUUGUGAAAGCCCCGGGCUCAACCUGGGAACGGCAUCCGGAACUGUCAAGCUAGAGUGCAGGAGAGGAAGGUAGAAUUCCCGGUGUAGCGGUGAAAUGCGUAGAGAUCGGGAGGAAUACCAGUGGCGAAGGCGGCCUUCUGGAGUGACACUGACACUGAGGUGCGAAAGCGUGGGUAGCAAACAGGAUUAGAUACCCUGGUAGUC
rnacentral:rRNA from 1 species